AGCUGAUGCAGCAUGCCGCGUGUGUGAAGAAGGCUUUAGGGUUGUAAAGCACUUUCAGCGAGGAGGAAAGGAUUAAAGUUAAUACCUUUGAUCUGUGACGUUACUCGCAGAAGAAGCACCGGCUAACUCCGUGCCAGCAGCCGCGGUAAUACGGAGGGUGCGAGCGUUAAUCGGAAUUACUGGGCGUAAAGCGUGCGUAGGCGGCUACUUAAGUUGGAUGUGAAAGCCCUGGGCUCAACCUGGGAACUGCAUCCAAAACUGAGUGGCUAGAGUGCGAGAGAGGAGUGUGGAAUUUCCUGUGUAGCGGUGAAAUGCGUAGAUAUAGGAAGGAACACCAGUGGCGAAGGCGACACUCUGGCUUGACACUGACGCUGAGGUACGAAAGCGUGGGGAGCAAACAGGAUUAGAUACCCUGGUAGUCCACGCCGUAAACGAUGUCUACUAGUUGUCCGUUGUCUUGUACGAUGGGUAACGCAGCUAACGCGAUAAGUAGACCGCCUGGGGAGUACGGCCGCAAGGUUA
rnacentral:rRNA from 1 species